CUUACCAUGUUCCAAGCAAGCCCACCAGUGAUUCCGGGCGCACCCGACGGGUUCAGGCGCGGAGGGCUGUGGGGAAGAGAGGGUUGGGGCUACGGAAGGGGGGACCCCGGGGCCCAGGUUGUGGGAGUCCUGGAAGCAGGCGGACCUAAGGAAAUUGCUUCUACUUUUAUUUUUUAUUGGUUUCCUAAAACAUAAAAGU
rfam:Oryctolagus cuniculus cont2.28470, whole genome shotgun sequence.